UCAUCUUCGGGGGUAGAGCACUGUUUCGGCUAGGGGGUCAUCCCGACUUACCAACCCGAUGCAAACUACGAAUACCGAAGAAUGUUAUCACGGGAGACACACGGCGGGUGCUAACGUCCGUCGUGAAGAGGGAAACAACCCAGACCGCCAGCUAAGGUCCCAAAGUCAUGGUUAAGUGGGAAACGAUGUGGGAAGGCCCAGACAGCCAGGAUGUUGGCUUAGAAGCAGCCAUCAUUUAAAGAAAGCGUAAUAGCUCACUGGUCGAGUCGGCCUGCGCGGAAGAUGUAACGGGGCUAAACCAUGCACCGAAGCUGCGGCAGCGACGCUUAUGCGUUGUUGGGUAGGGGAGCGUUCUGUAAGCCGUUGAAGGUGGCCUGUGAGGGUUGCUGGAGGUAUCAGAAGUGCGAAUGCUGACAUAAGUAACGAUAAUGCGGGUGAAAAACCCGCACGCCGGAAGACCAAGGGUUCCUGUCCAACGUUAAUCGGGGCAGGGUGAGUCGACCCCUAAGGCGAGGCCGAAAGGCGUAGUCGAUGGGAAACAGGUUAAUAUUCCUGUACUUGGUGUUGCUGCGAAGGGGGGACGGAGAAGGCUAUGUUGGCCGGGCGACGGUUGUCCCGGUUUAAGCAUGUAGGCGGAUGUUCCAGGUAAAUCCGGAACGUUAUUAACGCUGAGGUGUGAUGACGAGGCACUACGGUGCUGAAGUGACAAAUGCCCUGCUUCCAGGAAAAGCCUCUAAGCAUCAGGUAACAUCAAAUCGUACCCCAAACCGACACAGGUGGUCAGGUAGAGAAUACCAAGGCGCUUGAGAGAACUCGGGUGAAGGAACUAGGCAAAAUGGUGCCGUAACUUCGGGAGAAGGCACGCUGAUGGUAGGUGAAGUGACUUGCUCGUGGAGCUGAAAUCAGUCGAAGAUACCAGCUGGCUGCAACUGUUUAUUAAAAACACAGCACUGUGCAAACACGAAAGUGGACGUAUACGGUGUGACGCCUGCCCGGUGCCGGAAGGUUAAUUGAUGGGGUUAUCCUCGCGGAGAAGCUCUUGAUCGAAGCCCCGGUAAACGGCGGCCGUAACUAUAACGGUCCUAAGGUAGCGAAAUUCCUUGUCGGGUAAGUUCCGACCUGCACGAAUGGCGUAAUGAUGGCCAGGCUGUCUCCACCCGAGACUCAGUGAAAUUGAACUCGCUGUGAAGAUGCAGUGUACCCGCGGCAAGACGGAAAGACCCCGUGAACCUUUACUAUAGCUUGACACUGAACACUGGUCCUUGAUGUGUAGGAUAGGUGGGAGGCUUUGAAGUGUGGACGCCAGUCUGCAUGGAGCCGUCCUUGAAAUACCACCCUUUAAUGGCUGGUGUUCUAACGUGGGCCCGUAAUCCGGGUUGCGGACAGUGUCUGGUGGGUAGUUUGACUGGGGCGGUCUCCUCCUAAAGAGUAACGGAGGAGCACGAAGGUCAGCUAAUCCUGGUCGGACAUCAGGAGGUUAGUGCAAUGGCAUAAGCUGGCUUGACUGCGAGCGUGACGGCGCGAGCAGGUGCGAAAGCAGGUCAUAGUGAUCCGGUGGUUCUGAAUGGAAGGGCCAUCGCUCAACGGAUAAAAGGUACUCCGGGGAUAACAGGCUGAUACCGCCCAAGAGUUCAUAUCGACGGCGGUGUUUGGCACCUCGAUGUCGGCUCAUCACAUCCUGGGGCUGAAGUAGGUCCCAAGGGUAUGGCUGUUCGCCAUUUAAAGUGGUACGCGAGCUGGGUUUAGAACGUCGUGAGACAGUUCGGUCCCUAUCUGCCGUGGGCGCUGGAGAAUUGAGGGGGGCUGCUCCUAGUACGAGAGGACCGGAGUGGACGCAUCACUGGUGUUCGGGUUGUCAUGCCAAUGGCAUUGCCCGGUAGCUAAAUGCGGAAGAGAUAAGUGCUGAAAGCAUCUAAGCACGAAACUUGCCCCGAGAUGAGUUCUCCCUGACCCUUUAAGGGUCCUGAAGGAACGUUGAAGACGACGACGUUGAUAGGCCGGGUGUGUAAGCGCAGCGAUGCGUUGAGCUAACCGGUACUAAUGAACCGUGAGGCUUAACCUU
rnacentral:rRNA from 1 species